rnacentral:lncRNA from 1 species
GGACGCACAAUGAGAAGGAGGUGAACAUGCAGGUAGAGACUGGGGUGAUGUGGCCACAAGCCAGGAGACACCUGAGGCCCCGGAGCUGGAAAAGGCAGGAAGAGAUUUGCCCCAAAGCCUUCGGAGGAGGGAGCAUGGCCCUGUGACACCUGACCUUGGAAUUGUGGCCUCCUGCUCAGGAACUGGGUGGGGGAUGGGAAGAUCGUUAACCCCUGUCAUAAGCCCCCGCCAGUUUGUGUGUGCCACUGGCUGAUGGCAGGUGAGUGGAAGGGACGGGACCUCGUUUCUGGAGCAAGAACUUCAGGUGCAGCGAGCUACUGCCAGUCGUUCGUUCCCUCCUGCCCUGCAUGGGACACCUGCACGUCCAGGGAGUUCCUGCUCCCUGAGCCCAGUGAGAGAAGACGCGCGUCGGAGGGCAGCCUGGAGCCAGCAGCCACGGAGCCCGAGGGAGCAGACGAAUUCUGCUGUGAACACAUUCUGCAUCUGUGUGCAACCGUAAUGUGGUCUCACACCAACAUCCCAUGCAUCCCCCAUGACUGUUGUGUUCGUUCAUUCUGGCAGGCAAGUAUUCCCACCCCGGGAAAACUCAGACAUGACAUGCCUUUCUUUCAGUGUUGGGGCUCCCCAACACACCCCUGCUUCAUUGGGCCAUUUCCCAAAGCAAACAUACCUUCCAGCUCUAUCACGCUCCGAGUGGUCAAGCCAUCUGGAAAUGUUCACACGCUGGUAUGAGUCCUGCUAACUCGUGUGAGCCCACCUAGGGAGGAAUGAGCUCUGUUUCUACUGCGGAACCUCACUGAUUUGAGAAAUGGAUGAUGGCACAAGUGCUAAGGGGAAAUCUGACAGGGUCUCUGGGGGGCAGACUGCAGCCCCCACCCCCAAGGGACUUGGCAGGAGUCUUAAGGCCACAGAUCUGGAGAUAAGGAGAUCAUCCUAGAUUCCCCCAUCUAAUCACAGGAGGCUUAACAGCAGAAAGCUUGAUUCAGCUGGAGUGACAGACCCAGCACAGAGAUCAGGCACACCUGAAGCAGGAGGGGUCAGCUCGCCACCACUGGGGGGACCACCAGGGUCUGCUGGGCUCACACCCGGUCAGCUGCAAAGGGACCUCCUCCCAGCCAGCAACUCAGUGAGCCCGCGCUCAGUCAUCCAGAGCCCUCAGACAGGAGAGCAACCUUCAAGUCACCUUGACAUGAGCCCAGUUGAGCCUGGACUUCCCGCCUGCAUAGCGGCAGAAUACAUGGGCUUUGCUUUAAGCUGCUCUCUGGGAGGACAGAUGCUAUGGGAGCAGCAUGCAGUCUGGGUGGCAAGGAGCUGGAGGCUUGGGGUUCCUACAGGGGGUCCCCGAGCUCACCGUGGAAAGAAGCAAAGCCCCCUGGGAUGCCCACCCUUCCCACCGCCAAGCUUCUCCCGCGCAGACACACUCGCUGAGCUGACAGAGCAGGUCCUGCGGUGGGCCGGCCCCCCGUGGUUCUAUUUAUACGGCCUGUAUGCAAACGAGGACUUGGGGAAACCCAGCAUGUGAUUGGGUUACAGAGCAUAUGUAAAUAGCCAGAGGCAGCUCUGCUCUCUGAUUGGAUAAGAUUGCUGGGGAAGUCAGCCAACCAGAGCAGAGAUGGCCCUAGACACCCUCCAAGAAGCGCUGCUCCGGGCCCUCCCCGGAGAGCCGGGCGCUUGACUGGGGGAAGUGGAGGCUGUAGCUGGGAUUCCUGAUGGUUUUUAUUGUUUUGUUUUAAAAAAAAUUUUUUUAAUUUAAGUUCAAUUUGCCAAUAUAUAGUAUAACGCCCAGUGCUCAUCCCAUCACGCGCCCGCCUAAGUGCCCGUCACCUGGUGCUGAUGAAUUCACGGGGCCUUAUGGUGAUGAAGCCCCAGUAGGACGGCAGUGGUGAAAUCCAUCACCUUCCGACUGACAAAGAAAUCCAGUAUCAUCUUUAUUCCGGAAUAUCAGAGAAUGGAGAGGAAGAGGGUUUGGGCGUGUUUUCGUGGUUUUUCGUUGUUGUUGUUGUUGUUGUUGUUGUUUGUUAGUAUUUUUAGGGAAACGAUAUACACUUCAACGUAUAUGAGAAUAUCAAAUACCUGGGCAUCCCAGAGCAGUGUUUGCAGAGUGUGGUCUUGGGCCAACAUCAGGUCACCUGGGGAUUCGUUAGGAAUGCAAACUCGGGUCACUCCAGACCCAUUGAGUCACCAAGGGAAUGAGGCCCAGCUCUCUGCUCAGAUGCAUGUUAAUGUUUGAGAGCCAAACAAACUAGAUUGAACGGGCUCACUCAGAAAUUGAGCCACGUACUAAAUUAUCUGUCCUGUCUGCAAAUGAGUCAGUAAAAAAAUCGAAUGGCAAAAAUUUCUCUCAUUAUAUUAAAUAAGAUAAACAAGGAUACUCUUGGAAAAAGUGGGAUUCUUUUCAUGAAAAUAGAAAGCUCACUGAGAGGUUGAUAGAAAGAGACCUGCUUCCUUGGCUAUUAAAAUAAAUUUGAAAAAAAAAUCUAUUUUCUCCUAAACUGAUCUAUAAAUUCAACAUAAUCCCAUUAGGAUUUUAUCUGUCAUUUGGAAAGGGGAUAAAAGUUGUGAAGAUCCUAUACAAGGAAAUAGAGAGACAACAGAUAAAUUCUUUAAAAGAAUAAGACUUUUCUAUAUACAAGACCAUAUUGGGAUGCCUGGAUGGCUCAGCAGUUGAGUGUCUGCCUUUGGCUCAGGUCCUGACCCUGGGGUCCUGGGAUUGAGUCCCACAUUGGGCUCCUUGCAUGGAGCCUGCUUCUCCCUCUGCUUAUGUCUCUGCCUCUCUCUCUCUCUGUCUUUCAUGAAUACAUUUUUUAAAAUAUUUUUUAAAAAGACCAUACUAUCUGCAAACAGGGGAAGUUUGAUUUUCUUCCUUUCCAAAAUGGAUGUUCUUUAUACUUAAGAUCUCAGGGAUGUCACCGAA